rnacentral:lncRNA from 1 species
AAAAGUCGUCAAUUAAUUUUAUUAUUUAUUCAACAUAUAAUUUUAAUCGGGUCAAGUUUAAAUAAAAUUUCAAUUGGGUCAAAAUUGAAAUCUUAGGAUCAAAACUUUUUAAAAGGUUCAAAUUUAAUACCCUUUGAAAAUUACACAUUAACCCUAGAUUUAAAUUAAAACUGGGUCCCUCAAUAUUUAAAAUUGUGUGGCAAGUCCUUACUUAAAAAUUUGCAAAACAAGCCCUAAUCCCUUAAUUUCUCUAUAGGACCUCUAAACUCACAAAUUGAAAGACUAGUCCCAUCCCCAAAUAUAUUACAUACUGCUAAAAUCAAAGAUUAUAACCCAAAAGAAAAAACCACCAUUCUUCUCUCAGUUUUCGCCGCCGGCGACAUGGUUAUGUGUCAAUAAUAACCGAUUUAUCAACUUAUAAGGCGUUAGAAUUCAAAAAGGACAACCACGACCCGCUCUAACUGUUUGAUAAUUGCCGCAAAUGCACCACCCACGAACCAGUUUGGCGCCUUCACAGACAGUUUUUUUUUUUUUUUUUUUUUUUAGGGUUGUUGUGGUUGAUUCGGUGGUGUGGCAAGUGGGCCGAGCUUGAUUUUAUUUUGGCAUCAGUGUUGUGCAAAUGUAUAUAUACUGUGAAACUUCCAUGACACUCCAUGGUUCAAACUCAGAUACUGCUGGAAUGUCUGGUACUUAUCAAGUCUUCAACAUUGGAAUUCACUAGGCAUUAAAUAAAGUAAUUUGAUUCCAAGACAGUAGGACUUUUAAAGUAAUAGAC